GACGAACGCUGGCGGCGUGCUUAACACAUGCAAGUCGAACGGUGAAGCGCCUUCCUUUUGGUGGGUGUGGAUGAGUGGCGAACGGGUGAGUAACACGUGAGUAACCUGCCCCCUUCUUCUGGAUAACCGCAUGAAAGUGUGGCUAAUACGGGAUAUUCUGGGUCUGUCGCAUGGCGGGCCUGGGAAAGAUAUUGUUUCGGUGGGGGAUGGGCUCGCGGUCUAUCAGCUUGUUGGUGGGGUGAUGGCCUACCAAGGCGGUGACGGGUAGCCGGCCUGAGAGGGUGGACGGUCACACUGGGACUGAGACACGGCCCAGACUCCUACGGGAGGCAGCAGUGGGGAAUAUUGCACAAUGGGCGCAAGCCUGAUGCAGCGACGCCGCGUGGGGGAUGGAGGCCUUCGGGUUGUAAACCUCUUUCGCCAGUGAAGCAGGCCUGUCCCUUUUGUGGGUGGGUUGACGGUAGCUGGAUAAGAAGCGCCGGCUAACUACGUG
rnacentral:rRNA from 1 species